rnacentral:misc_RNA from 1 species
UUAAGUUCAGCGGGUAUCCCUACCUGAUCCGAGGUCAACCGUGAGUAGUUGAGGUUAUGGCAAGUAUCCACAGGACCCUGUAGCGAGGAAAAUUACUACGCUUAGAGCCAGAUGGCACCGCCACUAGUUUUAGGGGCCGCUAGAUCAGCGAACCCCAACACCAAGCCAGGCUUGAUUGGUCAUAAUGACGCUCGAACAGG